GAGUUUGAUCCUGGCUCAGGAUGAACGCUAGCGGCAGGCUUAACACAUGCAAGUCGAGGGGUAACAGGGAUUGCUUGCAAUCCGCUGACGACCGGCGCACGGGUGCGUAACGCGUAUGCAACCUACCUUCUACAGGGGGAUAGUCAAUAGAAAUGUUGAAUAAUACCCCAUACGAUCUUCAGAUAGCCUUAUUUGGAGAAGAAAGUUCCGGCGGCAGAAGAUGGGCAUGCGUCCUAUUAGUUAGUUGGAGAGGUAACGGCUCCCCAAGACAUCGAUAGGUAGGGGUCCUGAGAGGGAGACCCCCCACACUGGUACUGAGACACGGACCAGACUCCUACGGGAGGCAGCAGUGAGGAAUAUUGGACAAUGGAGGCAACUCUGAUCCAGCCAUGCCGCGUGCAGGAAGACUGCCCUAUGGGUUGUAAACUGCUUUUAUACAGGAAGAAAUGUACCUACGUGUAGGUAUUUGACGGUACUGUACGAAUAAGGAUCGGCUAACUCCGUGCCAGCAGCCGCGGUAAUACGGAGGAUCCAAGCGUUAUCCGGAAUCAUUGGGUUUAAAGGGUCCGUAGGCGGUCUUUUAAGUCAGAGGUGAAAUCCUACAGCUCAACUGUAGAAUUGCCUUUGAUACUGAAAGACUUGAGUUAUUGUGAAGUAGUUAGAAUGUGUGGUGUAGCGGUGAAAUGCAUAGAGAUCACACAGAAUACCGAUUGCGAAGGCAGAUUACUAACAAUAUACUGACGCUGAGGGACGAAAGCGUGGGUAGCGAACAGGAUUAGAUACCCUGGUAGUCCACGCCGUAAACGAUGGAUACUAGCUGUUCGACCAACAUUGGUUGGUUGAGUGGCUAAGCGAAAGUGAUAAGUAUCCCACCUGGGGAGUACGGCCGCAAGACUGAAACUCAAAGGAAUUGACGGGGGCCCGCGCUAGCGGUGGAGCAUGUGGUUUAAUUCGAUGAUACGCGAGGAACCUUACCAGGGCUUAAAUGUAAGUUGCAUGAUUUAGAGAUAGAUCUUUNUUCGGACUACUUACAAGGUGCUGCAUGGUUGUCGUCAGCUCGUGCCGUGAGGUGUCAGGUUAAGUCCUAUAACGAGCGCAACCCCUGUCGUUAGUUGCCAGCAAGUUAAGUUGGGCACUCUAGCGAGACUGCCAGUGCAAACUGUGAGGAAGGUGGGGAUGACGUCAAAUCAUCACGGCCCUUACGUCCUGGGCUACACACGUGCUACAAUGGUCGGUACAGAGAGCGGCCACUACGCGAGUAGGAGCGAAUCUAUAAAACCGAUCUCAGUUCGGAUCGCAGUCUGCAACUCGACUGCGUGAAGCUGGAAUCGCUAGUAAUCGGAUAUCAGCCAUGAUCCGGUGAAUACGUUCCCGGGCCUUGUACUCACCGCCCGUC
rnacentral:rRNA from 1 species